UUGAACAUUUAUGACCAGAGUCAUAAUAUGUGUGACACUGCAUCCCAUUUUACUCUGAUCUCACCCCGAUGGCCAUAAACACUGUGGAUAUGUAUCUGAGUCUGACAUAUUGUACACCAUGGAUUUGAGGAAGCUGCUUGUAAUCCACAAGAUGUCAUGCUAAAAUAAAUCUGUUACUAGACUCUUUUUUGUUUGUGCAUCUGCCUAGGACCGCAACAACAAAAAACAAGACAGCUGGAUAACACUUGUUCUCUCAGAAUCCUUAAAAAUAUCCUGUUUCAGGAUGACUAGCAUCCACAUGCGUCAGGAAUCACAGCUCGAUACUUACCACUGAGGUUUAAGAAGAAGACAUUUUACACAGCAUAAGAAGCAGAAUCAACAGGUCUUGGAGACAAGCCCAUGGCAAUGCCAUUCAUUGAAUGGGCAACCACGGGGUUAUUCAACAUGGAGGCAAAAGUUUUCACCACAUGCAAACUGUACAGAGCAUCCACAACUUACAGGCAACCACAGGGCUAUUCAUCAGAGAGGCAAUAGUUUUCACAACCUGCAUGCUGUACAGAGCAUCAGCACAUCAGUAAAUGGACCAGCAGAAAGCCAGGAUAUUUUCUCUGUGCAGCUUGUCAGCUUUUUGAUUUCACAAAACUGCUGUGUCUUUUUUGAGGGUAUGGUUGAUAGGAAUGUAAUGCAUGCAGUAUUACUUAUGUUGGAGAUGCAAUUCUGGGAACACCUGUUAAAUCUGUUUGUCAUACAAAAAACUGGAUGACAUCUGAACUCACUGAUGCUGUACAAUA